CGCCUUUUGAUGUAUAUUUAUAAAAGGUCCUGCCUGCCCAGUGACUCUGUUCAACGGCCGCGGUAUCAUGACCGUGCAAAGGUAGCGUAAUCACUUGUCUUUUAAAUAAAGACUGGUAUGAACGGCAACACGAGAGUUCAACUGUCUCACCAAAUUAGUCAGUGAAAUUAAUCUUUCCGUGCAGAAGCGGAACUAAUACUAUAAGACGAGAAGACCCUGUGGAGCUUUAAAUCUAAGCUACACAUAUUAUUAGCACACGAUUUUAGGUUGGGGCGACCAUGAGGCAAAACAAACCCUCAAGACAAUUAACUAGAGAGACAUCUCAACCAAAUAGUAAUACUAACACAUUGACCCAAUAAUUGAUCAACGAACCAAGUUACCCCAGGGAUAACAGCGCAAUCCACUCACAGAGCCCAUAUCGACGAGCGGGUUUACGACCUCGAUGUUGGAUCAGGACCACCUAGUAGUGCAGCAACUACUAAGGGUUCGUUUGUUCAACGAUUAAAGUCCU
rnacentral:rRNA from 1 species